rnacentral:tRNA from 1 species
GGAAAGGUGGCCGAGUGGUUGAAGGCACUGGUCUUGAAAACCAGAGACCGAAAGGUCCGCAGGUUCGAAUCCUGUCCUUUCCGCCA